rnacentral:lncRNA from 1 species
AUUUAUAUAUAUUUCCACAACAAUGAAAUUAAGUGUUACACUUUACGGCCAAAUGCACAUUUUGUAGUCUUCUAAAGUUAUGUUUGAAAUCUGAAGAAAGAAGGUUUAUAGAAUUAACUUUCAAUUAACCUUUCCUCCAGAGCUCGCUUGUUUUCUUUUCCUUUGCAGGUUAACAACGAACUUACCAACUUGAAAGCCGAAAUACAGGAUCUUAUGGGCAUCCUGACUCCAUUUGAAA